rnacentral:rRNA from 1 species
GAUGAACGCUAGCUACAGGCUUAACACAUGCAAGUCGAGGGAACGAUAGAGAAAGCUUGCUUUUUCUUAGGCGUCGACCGGCGCACGGGUGAGUAACGCGUAUCCAACCUGCCCAUCACUUGGGGAUAACCUUGCGAAAGUAAGACUAAUACCCAAUGACGUCUCUAGAAGACAUCUGAAGGAGAUUAAAGAUUUAUCGGUGAUGGAUGGGGAUGCGUCUGAUUAGCUUGUUGGCGGGGUAACGGCCCACCAAGGCGACGAUCAGUAGGGGUUCUGAGAGGAAGGCCCCCCACAUUGGAACUGAGACACGGUCCAAACUCCUACGGGAGGCAGCAGUGAGGAAUAUUGGUCAAUGGACGAGAGUCUGAACCAGCCAAGUAGCGUGCAGGAUGACGGCCCUAUGGGUUGUAAACUGCUUUUAUAAGGGAAUAAAGUGAGUCUCGUGAGACUUUUUGCAUGUACCUUAUGAAUAAGGACCGGCUAAUUCCGU